rnacentral:rRNA from 1 species
GACGAACGCUGGCGGCGUGCUUAACACAUGCAAGUCGAACGGAAAGGCCCUGCUUUUGUGGGGUGCUCGAGUGGCGAACGGGUGAGUAACACGUGAGUAACCUGCCCUUGACUUUGGGAUAACUUCAGGAAACUGGGGCUAAUACCGGAUAGGAGCUCCUGCUGCAUGGUGGGGGUUGGAAAGUUUCGGCGGUUGGGGAUGGACUCGCGGCUUAUCAGCUUGUUGGUGGGGUAGUGGCUUACCAAGGCUUUGACGGGUAGCCGGCCUGAGAGGGUGACCGGCCACAGUGGGACUGAGAUACGGCCAAGACUCCUACGGGAGGCAGCAGUGGGGAAUAUUGCACAAUGGGCGGAAGCCUGAUGCAGCAACGCCGCGUGCGGGAUGACGGCCUUCGGGUUGUAAACCGCUUUCGCCUGUGACGAAGCGUGAGUGACGGUAAUGGGUAAAGAAGCACCGGCUAACUACGUG